rnacentral:tRNA from 1 species
GUCAGGAUGCCGAGCGGUCUAGCGCCAGAUUUAAGCUCUGGUUCUCGAAAGAGAGCGUGGGUUCGAACCCCACUCCUGACA